rnacentral:tRNA from 1 species
AAGAAAGUGGCAGAUCGGUUAUGCUAAUGGCUUGAAACCAUUUGAUGGGGGUUCAAUUCCCUCCUUUCUCG